rnacentral:rRNA from 1 species
AAGGUUUCCGUAGGUGAACCUGCGGAAGGAUCAUUAUCGAGUUUUGAAACCGGAGGUCUGUUGCUGUACGCGGAAACGUGUACGUGCACGACUUUCGUGCUCAAAUCCACUCAACCCCCYGUGCACCUUAACUGUUGAAGUUAGUAGUCCUUCCCCUGUUGCAAGUAGUCAGUAGGGAUGAAGUCAAGUCUGCUAGUAGUCGAAAGGCGAACGCACCUUGUAUUAAGUCUUGAACACGAAAGUGACCUGUCGGAUGAACACUUUGGCUUUAUUACAAACCCUUUUAUUGUCUUGUGAAUGUAAUGCUCCUUGUGGGCGAAAUGAAAUACAACUUUCAACAACGGAUCUCUUGGCUCUCGCAUCGAUGAAGAACGCAGCGAAAUGCGAUAAGUAAUGUGAAUUGCAGAAUUCAGUGAAUCAUCGAAUCUUUGAACGCACCUUGCGCCCCUUGGUAUUCCGAGGGGCAUGCCUGUUUGAGUGUCAUGUUAAUCUCAAACCACUUGUCUUUUUUGACUCGAGGUUUGGACUUGGAGGUUGUGCUGGCAUUAGUUUGUCGGCUCCUCUUAAAUGCAUUAGCUGGACUUUGGUUCGCGUUUUACGGUGUAAUAGUCCUUUGAAUGUUCACCAGAGCGCUUGCCUAAUGAGUCUGCUUCUAAUGGUCUUCGGACAAGGAUCCCUAAGUGGCCUUCAUCUUGACACCUUGACCUCAAAUCAGGUAGG